GGUAGCAGUUCCUUUUGCGGAUGAAUCUACUAGUCCGAGCAAAAUGAAAGUCUCGAAACCUAAGAAAAAGGCUCUACUAGUGGAUGAAGUAUCGUCCGUUCUGAACCAAUCUGACUUGCGCCGUAUAAGCAACGACUUUCACCUCCCGAACGAUAAGUUCGAGCUGAUCUGACGUCAUGGUGACUUCCGAGCUAAUCAUGAUUUUGAUGAAAGAGAUCAGAUCAUGGUGUAUGGAAAACAACUAAAUGCUAGAGUUCAGUUUCCUUUGGGAUAAUUUUAUGUAGAUGCACUAAGCUACCAUCAUAUAGUAGUGGCGCAGCUCCAUUCGAACUCAUGGCGGAUACUAGAGGCUUUUCGAGGUCUUUACCAAGGUGCAAUGGUGGCUCACCAACGUGAUUGCUAGAGAGAAUACUUCUCUUCAAUUGGCUGAUCUUGGACCCAGAAAGGGUAAUACUUUUUAUCUCUCCCUCUGGUCUUAUGUUGCUCACUAACAUUGUAUUUCUUUCAGAUAUGGUUAGAAUUGGUUCUGAUUAGCCUAAGAGGAAAAGGAAGAGGGAGCUUGCCAAGCGAGUACUACAAAGGAAGGAAGCAGCGCCAUAGGUUACUGCUGCUACUAUGGCCCGAGGAACCUCAAGCUAAAAGGCCUCGUCCUGAGGAGCCUACUUCCCCGAUUAUUAAUUAGGCUAACCCCAUCGAUGUUGGUCUCCUCCUCUGGCUGUCAGGCCUUCAACUCAACCACUUACAUCGACUACCUCUGGCUGGGUGGCUCUUCUGGCCAGUAAAUGUCGAGAGGUGCCAAAGAGCUAACUCAAUCCCUCAAAAGAAUCUGAUCUAUAAAAGGUAACAUAGAUUUGGUGAAGGUUACUACAGCUUCACUUUGUCUCCUUGAAGACCUUCUCUCCGAAAUGCUAAAGCGAUAUCCUAGCGUGGACUUUACCUGGCUCAAAAAGCUCACCCCAAAUGCUAGUGCUGAGAGUGAUGGAUAGGAUGGUUAGGUUAGGGGAACUCAAAAUGUAAGUGUUGUUGAUGCAGCUAUUGGAGAUCUCCCUCCUACGUCUUGAAUUGUAAAAUGUAAUCUUUCAUUAAUUUAAAUGAAGUGUUUGUCUCUUCUCCAAUCUA